CAGUAGCCGCGGGAAUACGUAGGUGGCAAGCGUUGUCCGGAAUUAUUGGGCGUAAAAGGCUCGCAGGCGGUUUCUUAAGUCUGAUGUGAAAGCCCCCGGCUCAACCGGGGAGGGUCAUUGGAAACUGGGAAACUUGAGUGCAGAAGAGGAGAGUGGAAUUCCACGUGUAGCGGUGAAAUGCGUAGAGAUGUGGAGGAACACCAGUGGCGAAGGCGACUCUCUGGUCUGUAACUGACGCUGAGGAGCGAAAGCGUGGGGAGCGAACAGGAUUAGAGACCCCAGUAGUCCCUGUCUCUUAUAC
rnacentral:rRNA from 1 species